AUUGAACGCUGGCGGCAGGCUUAACACAUGCAAGUCGAGCGCCCCGCAAGGGGAGCGGCAGACGGGUGAGUAACGCGUGGGAACGUACCCUUUGCUACGGAAUAGCUCCGGGAAACUGGAAUUAAUACCGUAUGUGCCCUACGGGGGAAAGAUUUAUCGGCAAAGGAUAGGCCCGCGAUGGAUUAGCUAGUUGGGGGGGUAAUGGCCUACCAAGGCGACGAUCCAUAGCUGGGCUGAGAGGAUGAUCAGCCACAUUGGGACUGAGACACGGCCCAAACUCCUGCGGGAGGCAGCAGUGGGGAAUAUUGGCCAGUGGGCGCAAGCCUGAUCCAGCCAUGCCGCGUGAGUGAUGAAGGCCUUAGGGUUGUAAAGCUCUUUCACCGGAGAAGAUAAUGACGGUAUCCGGAGAAGAAGCCCCGGCUAACUUCGUGCCAGCAGCCGCCGUAACAC
rnacentral:rRNA from 1 species